rnacentral:rRNA from 1 species
GCGUAAUGAUGGCCAGGCUGUCUCCACCCGAGACUCAGUGAAAUUGAACUCGCUGUGAAGAUGCAGUGUACCCGCGGCAAGACGGAAAGACCCCGUGAACCUUUACUAUAGCUUGACACUGAACAUUGAGCCUUGAUGUGUAGGAUAGGUGGGAGGCUUUGAAGUGUGGACGCCAGUCUGCAUGGAGCCGACCUUGAAAUACCACCCUUUAAUGUUUGAUGUUCUAACGUGGACCCGUUACCCGGGUUGCGGACAGUGUCUGGUGGGUAGUUUGACUGGGGCGGUCUCCUCCUAAAGAGUAACGGAGGAGCACGAAGGUUGGCUAAUCCUGGUCGGACAUCAGGAGGUUAGUGCAAUGGCAUAAGCCAGCUUGACUGCGAGCGUGACGGCGCGAGCAGGUGCGAAAGCAGGUCAUAGUGAUCCGGUGGUUCUGAAUGGAAGGGCCAUCGCUCAACGGAUAAAAGGUACUCCGGGGAUAACAGGCUGAUACCGCCCAAGAGUUCAUAUCGACGGCGGUGUUUGGCACCUCGAUGUCGGCUCAUCACAUCCUGGGGCUGAAGUAGGUCCCAAGGGUAUGGCUGUUCGCCAUUUAAAGUGGUACGCGAGCUGGGUUUAGAACGUCGUGAGACAGUUCGGUCCCUAUCUGCCGUGGGCGCUGGAGAACUGAGGGGGGCUGCUCCUAGUACGAGAGGACCGGAGUGGACGCAUCACUGGUGUUCGGGUUGUCAUGCCAAUGGCACUGCCCGGUAGCUAAAUGCGGAAGAGAUAAGUGCUGAAAGCAUCUAAGCACGAAACUUGCCCCGA